CCCUUAGAUGUUCUGGGCCGCACGCGCGCUACACUGACGAAGUCAGCGAGCAUGUCCUACGCCGAUAGGUGCGGGGAAUCUUGUGAAACUUCGUCGUGCUGGGGAUUGAUUAUUGAAAUUAUUGAUCAUCAACGAGGAAUUCCUAGUAAGCGCAAGUCAGCAGCUUGCGUUGAUUACGUCCCUGCCCUUUGUACACACCGCCCGUCGCUACUACCGAUUGAAUGGUUUAGUGAGAUCUUCGGAUUGGUGCCACCGAGUCCAGCAAUGGGCACGGUGGAUAUCGAAAAGUCGAUCAAACUUGAUCAUUUAGAGGAAGUAAAAGUCGUAACA
rnacentral:rRNA from 1 species